UCGGGCGGGGGGCGGCGGCGGCCGAGACAUGGCGCUGUUCCCGGCCUUCGCCGGGGCCGCCCAGCCCGGGGAGCCCCCCGCGGGCAGCUCCGAGGGCUCCACGAGAGAGUUAGACUGGCUUAGUAACCCAAGCUUCUCUGCAGAAGAUGCACUCCUUCUGCACCAGCGCACUGCAGAAGUUGCCAAUCUCAUUCCUGAAAAAUUGCCAUUAAUAAGGACUUCUUCAAGAUCUGAGUUGUCAGAGGAGAGUGAUACAGAUGAGAGUCUGAAACAGACAAGUAAGAAAAGGAAAAAGAAGAAGAAAAAGCAUCACCACAGUAAGAAGACAAAAAAGAAAACCAAAGGGGAUUCCAGUAGCAGCGAAUCAGAGGUGGACACUAAGUACAUCAAGGACAAAGGAAGUGGCAAAAGUAGUGAAAAGGAAGCAGCAGCAAAUCUAGGUAAGAAAACAUCAAAUGUUACCAGCAGUCAUUCUAUUUGGCUUGAUGAUAUCCAGGCCCCCAGAGCAGACACCUUCCGGAUAGACAAGAAACCAGAUCCUGCAAACUGGGCCUACAAAUCCUUGUAUCGUGGGGACAUAGCAAGGUAUAAAAGGAAAGGAGAGUCCUGUCUUGGCAUAGAUGCAAAGAAACAGUGCAUAAUUUGGGACAGUUCUGCAUCAAAAAGGAAGCAAGCACGGAGUCAACCUGAGCGCUACUUUACAAAGAACAAUGUGAAGAUGCUGAAUACAGAUGGGAUUCUUGUUUGUAAUAAAAGUUCUCCAGCUGAUCCACCUGCUUUUAUACCAGUUUCCCAAGUGGAAACUGAUGAUUUUUCUGACACAACAGAAGUAAAUCCUCUUGGGAUAUAUGAUUCAUCAACCACAGUGUGGCUACAAGGAAAAGGCAAGAGUGCAGACAAUGAGUCUGUAAAUACACAGCAAACAAUUCAAGAGCCUGGGAUAAACAUGAACUCCAUUCUAAUGACGAAAGUGGAGGAAUAUAACAAGAAAGUUAGAGAAAACCCAAGAGAUAUUAAUGCUUGGAUGGAAUUUAUUUCCUUUCAGGAUGAAUUAAUGAGAGGACCUAGCCCUUAUGCCAGUAAGGGAGAGCAGGAAUUAAGGAGAAAAUCACUCAAGUUAAUCUUGGAAAAGAAACUGGCCAUUUUAGAGAGGGCAAUUGAAAGCAAUCCAAGUAAUGUUGAUCUGAAGCUUGCUAGGCUGAAGCUGUGCACAGAAUUCUGGGAACCACCAGCUGUGAUCAAAGAAUGGCAGAAGCUAAUUUUUUUACAUCCCAAUAAUCCAGAGAUGUGGAAGAAAUACCUUCUAUUCUGUCAAAGUCAGUUCACUACCUUUUCUGUUUCAAAGAUCAACAGUCUCUAUGGAAAAUGUUUGACAACACUGGCAGCUGUACAGGAUGGCAGCAUGGUAUCCCAUCCUCUGUUGCCUGGCACUGAAGAAGCUAUGCUAGCUAUAUUUAUUCAGCAAUGCCACUUUCUGAGACAGGCUGGCCAUUCUGAGAAAGCAGUGUCUUUGUUUCAGGCUCUGAUUGACUUCACCUUCUUUAAACCUGACAGUGUAAAAGAUCUGCCAACAAGGGGACAGGUGGAAUUCUUUGAACCCUUUUGGGAUAGUGGAGAACCACGAAUUGGAGAAAAAGGAGCAAGAGGCUGGAAAGCAUGGAUGCACCAACAAGAAAAGGGUGGCUGGGUUGUUCUUAAGCCUGAUGAUGAGGAUGAGGAAGAAAUAGAUGAGGAUCAAGAAAUAAAAGAUAAAACUCUUCCCAAGUGGCAUAUUUGGUUGGAUGUUGAAUAUUCCCGUGAGGCAAGGCAUUGGUUACCUUGGAGGCCAGACAAAACCAAAAAGGAAACUGAAGAAGAUUGUGAAGAUCCAGAAAGACAGGUGUUAUUUGAUGAUCUAGGACCAUCUUUAAUCCGUCUUUCUAAUCCAAAGCUUCAACAUCAACUACUGUACUCUUUUCUGCAAUUCCUGGGAGUUCCAUGUACAAGUAAACUCUUUCCUUCCGGUCUCUAUAUUGCCAUGGAUGAAAAUAACAUCUUUGACAGUGUGCUUUAUGAUGAUAAACCACUGACUUCUGUUGAUAUUCCACUUUCUGGAUUCAACAGUAUUGGUCAUAUGGAUACGAUGUCACGAGGCAGACAUCAGAUAGGCCACUACAAAGAAGGAGAGGAGUUCAUACAAAAUGUCUUCCAUGUUCUGUCCCAGAUAUUUACAGGAAAGGAAAAAUCUAACCUGGCCAUUUGUUGGCUACAGUAUGAAAUAUCUAAGGUAAUCCAGUGUCUCCAAGCAAAAAAGAAAAAGAAGCUAAAAGCACAAGGGAGGAAGAGUAAAAAGUUGGCCAAGAAUUUUCUUAAAGCACCUGACAACCGAAACAACCUUUCUCUCUGGAAACUCUAUGCCUACCUAGAGUGGCUGCUUGGUAACACAGAUGAUUCCAGGAAGGUGUUUGACACAGCUCUUUGCACAGCGGGGACAGGAGGAUUGAAGAGUGCUCAGCUCUGCAGCCUCAGCCUGCUGUAUGCUCAGCUGGAAGUGGAACUGCUAGAAAGUAUAGAAGGAGCUGUCAUGUCACGUGCUGUUCAUAUAUUGACCAAAUUGACUGAAAAUGGACCAUAUGUGCCCUAUAGUGGACAAGUGUUACCUGUGAAUGUCUUGAAAGCUCGUAAAAUAUAUGAGCAUGCACUGCAAGAUUAUUUAAGUAAAACAGCAGUUUCUGAUCAGGAUCAGGUCAAUGAUGCUGAUCAGUUGGUUAACCUGGUUGGUUGUUAUGCACUGUUUCAGUAUUUGACUGUUGGGAUUGAUGCUGCAGUAUUAAUAUAUAUGCAGGCUUCAGAAAAACUUGAAGUUUCUGGUUCACAGAAAUGUGAAAAUACAGGAGAGAAUUUUGGCAUUCUAAAUUUUCCCACUGCUCUUGAAGCUGUCACACUGCUGCAUACAAAUUUACUGAGAUUCCACAUGAAAAUUAGUGUUUAUCCUUUGAAUCCCCUGCGAGAGGCACUGACAGAGGCUCUGAAACGGUAUCCUAGCAACCAGUCUCUUUGGAGGUCGUACAUCCACAUCCAAAGGAAGUCUCACAGUGCGAGCAAAGCACGAAGAUUUUUUGAUAGUGUCACAAGGUCUGCCAACUCUUUAGAGCCAUGGCUGUUUGCAAUCCGAGCAGAGCAGAUGAGAAAAAAACUCACAGAGAAGGUCCAGAGGGCAGAUGUUGGUGAAAUACAUUGUACUAUUCCUGAAACUGGAUUAACAAAUCGGAUUGUAGCUCUGUUUGAACAUGCAGUUCAGAGUGAAAAUGGUACCCAUUGUCCACUGCUAUGGAGAAUGUAUUUGAACUUUAUGGCUUCACUAGGAAAAAAAGAAAAAAGUAAAGGAUUGUUUUAUAAAGCCCUUCAAAACUGUCCUUGGGCAAAGGUACUCUAUAUGGAUGCAGUAGAGUAUUUCCCUGAAGAUCUGCAGGAGACGCUCGAUCUAAUGACUGAGAAAGAAUUGAGAGUGCGAGUGCCUAUGGAAGAGCUGGAUCUGCUACUAGAGAUUUAAAAGAAGACUGUAGCAGAGUGGAGGAAGUACAGAAGCUGUUUCCAAAGCUAACAAUUAGAUCCACUUUCAUACAGGAACUCUGUUGGGAUUUGGAACAUGCUGAAACAUGGAAAGGAUUGUUUAGCAUCCCUACUCUUGCAACCCAAGGACUCAGAAACUGGAUUUUCAUCUGCAACAAGUAUACCUGCAGCCAUAGAAUACCCAACACUGCUUCAGAGAUUUUUCAUGAGAAAACUAAUUGUCACUAGCAGCACUAAAGCAAUUGGGACCAUCCAGCUGGUGAAGAUCUUAUUAGACAUGAAGCUGUGUCUGAACCAAAAUGUAAAACUUCUAGCUCAGGUUUGCCACCAUGAUACAAAAUAGAAUACACUUUAGUCCAGGCUGCAUUUCAUUUAUUCCUUUCUAAAAUUAUUUUAAAUAUUGCAGGGAAUAUGUAUAAUUUUAAAUGGCAUUACAGCACUUCUGAAGAGCCUUAUAAUAUUGAGGUAGUUGCAAGUGAUGCUGGUUUUGCUGUAAUCAAUUGUCUUUGUGAAAAAUGCGGUUUCUUUUUUAAACCUUUACUUUCUACAAAAAUGACAGAGCUCCUGAAUUGGAGGUAAAAGUUACUCUGUACCCUGAACAGUAACAUGACAAAUUA